rnacentral:tRNA from 1 species
GGUUCGGUAGCUCAGCUGGAUAGAGCAACUGCCUUCUAAGCAGUAGGUCAAGGGUUCGAGUCCCUUCCGAAUCA